rnacentral:RNase_P_RNA from 2 species
AAAGUUUGACAGACAAUCGCCGGCAGUGUGUAAGACACUGCGGGAGGAAAGUCCGGGCUCCAUAGGGCAGGAUGCUGGAUAACGUCCAGUCAGCGCGAGUUGAAGGAUAGUGCCACAGAAAUGGACCGCCGAUGGCCGUGUAAACGGAUCAGGCAAGGAUGGAACCGAGGUGUAAGAGACCCCGAGGAACGCUGGUGACUUCGUUCCUGGUAAACCCCAUCUGGAGCAAGACCUAAUGGAACGCAGCUUCUCUGCAAAGAGUAGCAGCCUUAGCCCGAGGCGCGUUUAGGUUGGUCGCUGGAGCCAUGCAGCAAUGUAUGGCCUAGAUAGAUGAUUGUCGCUUGCUGUGGGAGGGUAGUUCCCGUCUGUACCACGAAGAGCACAGAACCCGGCUUACGUAAAACUUUCCUA